AGGUACUAAACCUUCAAAAAUGCAGAGCCACAGCUGUGCAAUUCAAGAUGAGCUGCAGCGUCUUUUCCUGCCACUGUUAACUCAGAUCAUGGCUGUUGGGAGUGGAGAUCGUCGUUAAGAGAAAAGAAAGGGGCAACACAAAAGCGGUGGGAGAACAGGGUCCCCAUGAUCUUCUGCACCAGAGAGGGGAGGCCAGCUUGCUUCCAGAGAUGGGCCAUCAACCGGUUUUCCCAGGUUCACCGAGGGGAGUCAGUGAAGUGCAUCGCUCCAUCCGUGACACCGCUCUGCCUUGACAAAGGACCAACAUUCCUGAGAGCUUCCCAGAGCUGAAGUCUGGCACUGACCGCCCCG